ACGCUCGACACCUACGGGAGGCAGCAGUGGGGAAUAUUGGGCAAUGGGGGCAACCCUGACCCAGCAACGCCGCGUGAAGGAAGAAGGCUUUCGGGUUGUAAACUUCUUUGACAAGGGACGAAAUAAAUGACGGUACCUUGAAAACAAGCCACGGCUAACUACGUGCCAGCAGCCGGGUAAUCUGAGCGGGCUGGCAAGGC
rnacentral:rRNA from 1 species